rnacentral:rRNA from 1 species
GUUGUAUCUGGCGGCCUCUGGCUGUCCGAGUUGUAGUCUGGAGAAGUGUUUUCUGUGCCGGACCGUGUACAAGUCCCUUGGAACAGGGCGUCAUAGAGGGUGAGAAUCCCGUCUCUGACACGGACUCCCGGUGCUUUGUGAUGCGCUCUCGAAGAGUCGAGUUGUUUGGGAAUGCAGCUCAAAAUGGGUGGUAAAUUCCAUCUAAAGCUAAAUAUUGGCGAAAGACCGAUAGCGAACAAGUACCGUGAGGGAAAGAUGAAAAGCACUUUGGAAAGAGAGUUAAACAGUACGUGAAAUUGUUGAAAGGGAAACGCUUGAAGUCAGUCGCGUCUGGUGGGACUCAGCCUUACUUCUGUAUGGUGCAUUUCCUAUUUGAUGGGCCAGCAUCGAUUUCGGUCACUGGAGAAAGGUGGGGGGAACGUGGCACCCUCGGGUGUGUUAUAGCCCUCUAUCGUAUGCAGUGAUUGGGAUCGAGGAUCGCAGCACGCCUUAACGGUCGGGGUUCGCCCACGUAACGUGCUUAGGAUGCUGGCGUAAUGGCUUUAAGCGACCCGUCUUGAAACACGGACCAAGGAGUCUAACAUGCCUGCGAGUGUUUGGGUGUCAAACCCGGACGCGAAAUGAAAGUGAACAGUUGGGACCUCUGUCGUGGAGGGCACCGACGCCCGGACCAGACCUUCUGUGACGGUUCCGAGGUAGAGCAUGUAUGUUGGGACCCGAAAGAUGGUGAACUAUGCCUGAGUAGGGUGAAGCCAGAGGAAACUCUGGUG